rnacentral:rRNA from 1 species
CUACCAAGGCAUCGACGGGUAGCUGGUCUGAGAGGACGAUCAGCCACACUGGGACUGAGACACGGCCCAGACUCCUACGGGAGGCAGCAGUGGGGAAUCUUGCGCAAUGGGCGAAAGCCUGACGCAGCAACGCCGCGUGGAGGACGAAGGCUUUCUGAGUUGUAAACUCCUUUCAGCAGGGACGAUAGUGACGGUACCUGCAGAAGAAGCACCGGCCAACUACGUGCCAGCAGCCGCGGUGAUACGUAGGGUGCAAGCGUUGUCCGGAUUUAUUGGGCGUAAAGAGCUCGUAGGCGGUUUGAUAAGUCGGGUGUGAAACCUCCAGGCUCAACCUGGAGCCGCCACUCGAUACUGUCAUGACUAGAAUUCGGUAGGGGACCACGGAAUUCCUGGUGUAGCGGUGAAAUGCGCAGAUAUCAGGAGGAACACCAGCAGCGAAGGCGGUGGUCUGGGCCGACAUUGACGCUGAGGAGCGAAAGCGUGGGGAGCGAACAGGAUUAGAUACCCUGGUAGUCCACGCCGUAAACGUUGGGCACUAGGUGUGGGGACUAUUCAACGGUUUCCGUGCCGCAGC